rnacentral:tRNA from 1 species
CGGAAUGUAAUAUAACGGUAUUAUGCAGGCUUCGGGAGUCUGUAAUCUGGGUUCGACUCUCAGCAUUCCGAC